CGAAAUUUAAACAAACUUUGAAGAAUUAAAAACGAAUUGUCAUUUGUUCUGUUCGAUUCAACGACAAAAAAUGUUCCAUCGCAAAGUGUUCGCUUUGUUAUUCUGUGGGCUCGUGAUUGGCGAGCUUUUUGAUAAUAACGUUGAUGCCACUCUCUGUGGCAGGGACAGAGAGGAGAUAAUUGGAAAAACCCCCGACAAACCAAAGAAAC